rnacentral:rRNA from 1 species
UGGGGAAUAUUGCACAAUGGGGGAAACCCUGAUGCAGCGACGCCGCGUGAACGAAGAAGGUAUUCGUAUCGUAAAGUUCUGUCCUAUGGGAAGAUAAUGACAGUACCAUAGAAGAAAGCUCCGGCUAAAUACGUGCCAGCAGCCGCGGUAAUACGUAUGGAGCGAGCGUUGUCCGGAAUUAUUGGGCGUAAAGGGUACGCAGGCGGUUUAAUAAGUCGAAUGUUAAAGAUCGGGGCUCAACCCCGUAAAGCAUUGGAAACUGAUAAACUUGAGUAGUGGAGAGGAAAGUGGAAUUCCUAGUGUAGUGGUGAAAUACGUAGAUAUUAGGAGGAAUACCAGUAGCGAAGGCGACUCUCUGGUCUGUAACUGACGCUGAGGCUCGAAAGCGUGGGUAGCAAACAGG